AAAAAUAGUGGAACAAAGUUCAAAUACAUCCAUGAAAAGCAUCACAAGCAAAGAAACGAAAAAUACUGAAGAUGUUCUUGAUUCACAACCACUACCUUCAGCACAUAUCCUCACCAAUGAAGAAUUGGAACAAACUGAAGCCCUUCUCUAUCACCUAAAGAAAAAAGAAAACAACAAAAUAUGACAGACAGCAGGCCCCAUUUAAGAUAAUUAUUA
rnacentral:lncRNA from 1 species